rnacentral:rRNA from 1 species
CCUACGGGCGGCAGCAGUGGGGAAUAUUGGACAAUGGGGGGAACCCUGAUCCAGCCAUGCCGCGUGUGUGAAGAAGGCCCUCGGGUUGUAAAGCACUUUCAGUGAGGAAGAACGCCUGGUGGUUAAUACCCAUCAGGAAAGACAUCACUCACAGAAGAAGCACCGGCUAACUCCGUGCCAGCAGCCGCGGUAAUACGGAGGGUGCGAGCGUUAAUCGGAAUUACUGGGCGUAAAGCGCGCGUAGGUGGCUUGAUAAGCCGGUUGUGAAAGCCCCGGGCUCAACCUGGGAACGGCAUCCGGAACUGUCGAGCUAGAGUGCAGGAGAGGAAGGUAGAAUUCCCGGUGUAGCGGUGAAAUGCGUAGAGAUCGGGAGGAAUACCAGUGGCGAAGGCGGCCUUCUGGACUGACACUGACACUGAGGUGCGAAAGCGUGGGUAGCAAACAGGAUUAGAUACCCUAGUAGUC